rnacentral:snoRNA from 1 species
UUCUGCACGAAAGUGAUCGGGGCUGCCUGUGGCCGCGUCAUGAUAGUGCAGGGAGAGGAAUUGCUGAAAGACAUUUCCUGUGUUGGGGCCCAGCGGUCCCUUCCAAACCCUGGAGCUUUCCAAA